rnacentral:lncRNA from 1 species
AGCCUCGAGAAGCAAAGCUGUUUAAGAAGGAAAGUAUGGUCAACUAUAGAGGGCUGCCAGGGCAAGUAAGAUGAUGACAGAGGUUUAGAAGCUGGAAGUCAUUGGUGACCUCUUGAUGGGAAUGGCUUUGGUAGUGGGCUGGGGACAGAUGCCUCAGCUGCUUAUAACCCCGGUUCUUGGCAAUAAGAACCUUGGCUUUCCUGCUGGGAUACUGGAUGCAAUCUAUUGGACAGCAUCUUACCAACACUGGCUGUGGCUGAGAAGUGAAGCAAGGAAGGCGAAGGCAAUCUGUGGAGAUAGAGACAAGCUGCCUGCUGGUGACCUUGAAGUGGCUAGUGGGGGUGGAGGGAAAGACAACUUGUUGAAAAGUUUGGCCUUGAGGGAGAGAGAGAGACAGGAUAGUUGCUGGAGAAGGUGGGUGGUAGAGGGUAUGUUUGGACUGAGGGAAGAAUGGAAGGGGAGCAGGUACGUCUUUAGGCUUGGGGAGGUGGGAAUGAAGUGCACCUACGCAUGCAUUGCCUGGAUUUUGCUUAGGGUUCUAGUCCCUCGUGGUGACAGAACCUGGUUUGGAAUAUUCUCCCUAUUAUCAUCUCGGCGCUGGGCCCCAACUCACAUCGCACCCGCAGAUGCCCUUAGGAGCCCUGGGGGAGAUCACCUCCAUGUACUUCAACACACAAAAAAUACGAGUGGCAGCGCUUCAGUGAGGACUGUCUGUACCUGAGUGUGUGCGGGCCAGUGUAAGUGCAUGGGAACCCUCUACUACCGCUGAGUACUCAGCCUCUCACCAUGCACCAUCCCACUCAGGCACUCCACUGUCCCGCUCUCUCCCAGGUGAUGGUCUGGUUCCCAGGAGGUGCCUUUCUCGUGGGCUCCGCUUCCAUGUGCGAUGGCUCGGAAUUUUUCGCCUGAGAAAAAGUGGUGCUCCGGGAGUUCCCGUCGUGGCACAGUGGUUAACGAAUCCGACUAGGAACCAUGAGGUUCGGGUUCGGUCCCUGCCCUUGCUCAGUGGGUUAACGAUCCGGCGUUGCCAUGAGCUGUGGUGUAGGUUGCAGACGCAGCUCGGAUCCCGCGUUGCUGUGGCUCUGGCGUAGGCCGGUGGCUGCAGCUCCGAUUCGACCCCUAGCCUGGGAACCUCCAUAUGCUGCGGGAGCGGCCCAAAGAAAUAGCAAAAAGACAAAAAAAAAGAAAAAGAAAAAGUGGGAAGGGGCCUCCUCUGGGAGGGGGAGUCGAGGACCGGGUAGACGGGAAGGGGCGUGGCCUGUGGGGGCCUAUCCGCUAGAGCGGCUUGACAGGGCGUGGUCCAAUGUUUGUUGGACAAGCACUGGGCACCGCUUCACAGGGGCGGAGCCCAACUAUGAGGAAGGGGAUGCAGUGGGGAGACCGUGUCUCUGAGGGACAGGACAGGUCGAGGCGGGAGCCCACAGCACCCAGGCACUUGGGCUCCGGACCCUGAUCAUGAGCCCUGCGCUCAGCAUGGGCGACAGCCAGGCCGCGGGAACUGGGCACUAUUGGACCAAGCUGAGGCUCUGCGCUGGAUUCAGGAGAACAUCGAAGGCUUCGGAGGAGAUCCGACCUGUGUGACUUUGGCCAGUCAUAGGGGGCCAUGUGCAUCUCGGGACUGAUGAGUGCAGUAACCAGAUAAACUCAGGCACAGAUGCAGGCUCGCAUGUUCUUAUGUGUUCUGCGUAGAUUACAUGUGAAGAUUUGCGUGUAUAAGAACGUUCUGGUCCGCAGACCUGCCCUCACCCCUGCCGUGGGUACUGCCCCUCACAGCCAAGGAUGUCCGUUCCAUUCAGUGGGUGGCCCUGGUGAGAAAACCAAGCCAGCCCAGGAUGGGCAAUUCUGAGACUAUGGAUACUCAGCCAAUCAGUUGUGGGCCAGAAAGAUACACCGCACUUCCUGCCUCACCACGUUCCCCCCAGAGCUCUAUGCCCAGAAUAGAGCCCACCAUCUGCCCUCUCAACAGGGUUGGGGCCACAGACUAGGCCUGAGUCAGGCCUGGGUUAGAGACUAGGCUUUGCCUCUGACUCCUGGGGCACUGCUGAUGUGGAGUGUCCCUGGAGUGCAAUUGUGAUAAGGUCAGGUGUCCUGUGAGGGACAUAUGGCUAGGCAGUGAUCAGGGACCACAUCGCACAAGGUCUUGUGGCCCACAGUGAUUAUACUCAAAAAACUUGAGCAUGUUCUAUGUGCCAGACUCUUUUCCAAGCAUUUAUAUAUAUUCAUUCAUUAAAUCCCCUCA